UGUAAGCGUAUACCAAAGUUGUUGCAGUUAAAACGCUCGUAGUCGGAAUUUGGCAGUUCCGGAUGUGUGCACGUCGUGUGCGCACUUCGCGGGGAUUGCUUUUGUGGUCUUGCGUAGGAUGAGGCACUUUUAUUAGUGAACGUCCUCACGCAACCACUUUUUACUGUGAGAAAAUCAGAGUGCUCAAAGCAGGCAUUUGCCGUGAAUGUAUUAGCAUGGAAUAAUAGAAUAGGACUUGGUUCUAUUUUGUUGGUUUGUUGGGACUGAGUAAUGAUUAAGAGGGACAGUUGGGGGCAUUUGUAUUUCGGCGCUAGAGGUGAAAUUCUUAGAUUGCCGAAAGACAAACUGCUGCGAAAGCGUCUGCCAAGGAUGUCUUCAUUGA
rnacentral:rRNA from 1 species